rnacentral:rRNA from 1 species
AAUGCCCUUCGGGGCUCACUGGUGAUUCAUGAUAACUUGUCGAAUCGCAUGGCCUUGCGCCGGCGAUGGUUCAUUCAAAUUUCUGCCCUAUCAACUUUCGACGGCUGGGUCUUGGCCAGCCAUGGUGACAACGGGUAACGGAGGGUUAGGGCUCGACCCCGGAGAACGAGCCUGAGAAACGGCUAUUACAUCCAAGGAAGGCAGCAGGCGCGCAAAUUACCCAAUACCGACUCGGUGAGGUAGUGACGAUAAAUACUGAUACAGGGCUCUUUUGGGUCUUGUAAUUGGAAUGAGUACAAUUUAAAUCCCUUAACGAGGAACAAUUGGAGGGCAAGUCUGGUGCCAGCAGCCGCGGUAAUUCCAGCUCCAAUAGCGUAUAUUAAAGUUGUUGCAGUUAAAAAGCUCGUAGUUGAACCUUGGGCCUGGCUGGCCGGUCCGCCUCACCGCGUGCACUGGUCCGGCCGGGUCUUUCCCUCUGGGGAACCGCAUGCCAUUCACUUGGUGUGCCGGGGAACCAGGACUUUUACUUUGAAAAAAUUAGAGUGUUCAAAGCAGGCCUAUGCUCGAAUACAUUAGCAUGGAAUAAUAGAAUAGGACGCGUGGUUCUAUUUUGUUGGUUUCUAGGACCGCCGUAAUGAUUAAUAGGGACAGUCGGGGGCAUCAGUAUUCAAUUGUCAGAGGUGAAAUUCUUGGAUUUAUUGAAGACUAACUACUGCGAAAGCAUUUGCCAAGGAUGUUUUCAUUAAUCAGGAACGAAAGUUAGGGGAUCGAAGACGAUCAGAUACCGUCGUAGUCUUAACCAUAAACUAUGCCGACUAGGGAUCGGACGAUGUUAUUUUUUGACUCGUUCGGCACCUUACACGA